rnacentral:rRNA from 1 species
UACGUAGGGGGCAAGCGUUGUCCGGAUUUAUUGGGCGUAAAGAGCGUGUAGGCGGCUAUACAGGUAGGUCUGCUGUGAAAACUCGAGGCUCAACCUCGAGACGUCGGCGGAAACCAUCUGGCUAGAGUCCGGAAGAGGAGAGUGGAAUUCCUGGUGUAGCGGUGAAAUGCGCAGAUAUCUGGAGGAACACCGGGUGGCGAAGCGGCGUUCUGGGACUGCAACUGACACUGAGGAACGAAAGCGUGGGGAGCGAACAGG